rnacentral:rRNA from 1 species
GAUGAACGCUGGCGGCGUGCCUAAUACAUGCAAGUCGAGCGAACGGACGAGAAGCUUGCUUUUCUGAUGUUAGCGGCGGACGGGUGAGUAACACGUGGAUAACCUACCUAUAAGACUGGGAUAACUUCGGGAAACCGGAGCUAAUACCGGAUAAUAUUUUGAACCGCAUGGUUCAACAGUGAAAGACGGUCUUGCUGUCACUUAUAGAUGGAUCCGCGCUGCAUUAGCUAGUUGGUAAGGUAACGGCUUACCAAGGCAACGAUGCAUAGCCGACCUGAGAGGGUGAUCGGCCACACUGGAACUGAGACACGGUCCAGACUCCUACGGGAGGCAGCAGUAGGGAAUCUUCCGCAAUGGGCGAAAGCCUGACGGAGCAACGCCGCGUGAGUGAUGAAGGUCUUCUGAUCGUAAAACUCUGUUAUUAGGGAAGAACAUAUGUGUAAGUAACUGUGCACAUCUUGACGGUACCUAAUCAGAAAGCCACGGCUAACUACGUG